AGACCCGAAACCCGGUGAUCUAGCCAUGGGCAGGUUGAAGGUUGGGUAACACUAACUGGAGGACCGAACCGACUAAUGUUGAAAAAUUAGCGGAUGACCUGUGGCUGGGGGUGAAAGGCCAAUCAAACCGGGAGAUAGCUGGUUCUCCCCGAAAGCUAUUUAGGUAGCGCCUCGUGAAUUCAUCUCCGGGGGUAGAGCACUGUUUCGGCUAGGGGGCCAUCCCGGCUUACCAACCCGAUGCAAACUGCGAAUACCGGAGAAUGUUAUCACGGGAGACACACGGCGGGUGCUAACGUCCGUCGUGAAGAGGGAAACAACCCAGACCGCCAGCUAAGGUCCCAAAGUCAUGGUUAAGUGGGAAACGAUGUGGGAAGGCCCAGACAGCCAGGAUGUUGGCUUAGAAGCAGCCAUCAUUUAAAGAAAGCGUAAUAGCUCACUGGUCGAGUCGGCCUGCGCGGAAGAUGUAACGGGGCUAAACCAUGCACCGAAGCUGCGGCAGCGAACGUAUCACCCAAGACAACUUUACGGAGUUGACGAUUGACGGAGCGAAGCGACGUCAAAGCGUUCAUUAAAGUCGAGUUGGCUUAGGGAUACGUUCGUUGGGUAGGGGAGCGUUCUGUAAGCCUGUGAAGGUGGCCUGUGAGGGUUGCUGGAGGUAUCAGAAGUGCGAAUGCUGACAUAAGUAACGAUAAAGCGGGUGAAAAGCCCGCUCGCCGGAAGACCAAGGGUUCCUGUCCAACGUUAAUCGGGGCAGGGUGAGUCGACCCCUAAGGCGAGGCCGAAAGGCGUAGUCGAUGGGAAACGGGUUAAUAUUCCCGUACUUGGUGUUACUGCGAAGGGGGGACGGAGAAGGCUAUGUUGGCCGGGCGACGGUUGUCCCGGUUU
rnacentral:rRNA from 1 species